CGGCCGCGGUACCCUAACCGUGCGAAGGUAGCAUAAUCACUUGUUCUUUAAAUGAGGACUCGUAUCAACGGCAUCACGAGGAUCCUACUGUCUCCCCCCUCUAAUCGGUGAAACUGAUCUCUCCGUGAAGAAGCGGAGAUGUACAUAUAAGACGAGAAGACCCCAUGGAGCUUUAAACCCAACAACACCCGCUCCCCUCCAAACCCUAUUAUUUACCCGGUGAUUGUUUGUUUGGUUUUAGGUUGGGGUGACCGCGGAGUAUAAGAUAUCCUCCAUGAAAAAAAGCUAACUGCCCUUAUUAGAGAAAGACACUUCCAAAAAAUAAUAAAUUAAUUUUAAAUGAUCCGACAUUCGAUCAACGAACCAAGUUACCCUGGGGAUAACAGCGCAAUCCGUCCCGAGAGCCCCUAUCGACAGGCGGGUUUACGACCUCGAUGUUGGAUCAGGGUAUCCUAGUGGUGCAGCAGCUACUAAAGGUUCGUUUGUUCAACGAUUAAAACCCUA
rnacentral:rRNA from 1 species